CUCUUCAGAAGGCUUUUUAAAAGGCUUGAGCUUUUUUCUUGCUAUUUGUUUGAAUAAACUGUGGGCAAAUUCUUGGACCCAUGAAGUCAUUGGGCAAAUUCUUGUUGGCUUCGAGUGCAUGAGGAUAUUGCUUCUGGCAUCUUUUGAAACCUGCUUCUUGCUGAACUCCUGCCUUGGACAACUCUCCUUCUGCAAAUGUGAGCUAAGAGUAUCCCUGUGCCGAGCUAGGAGCGUCAGAUGCCCCAUCGUGAAGUACCUGUUGCUACGUAGCUCGGCCUCCACGUGGCACACGGCUCCCGCCCAGGAGCGGGAUCUCUCGCCUCCUGUGUGGAAAUGUCUUCCCUGGCCACAUCCAGGGACCCGUCUGCAUCAGAGAAGAUGCCUUCAAGAGGUUCAGUGGGAAAGAGAGUUUGGAAGUUCCUGCCCCAGAGCAGGCAAGAGGGAGGGAGAGAACCCUUUCCUCCCGGAGGAUGAUGUCAUGAAGAAAAGGAUGUUUGUACAUGACAUCUGUGAUCACAUGCACAUUACUUGGUUUUCUGAACCCUUCCUGUAAAAGAAGAGUCAGAAGAGCCCUCCUGCCCAUCGAUAGGAGAGGGAAGACACUCAGAAAGACCAGAAGAGAACAGCCUGUUCCUCAGUGCCAUAACCUGAACAAUUUCACCA